AUGAACUCGGUAACAAAAAUGUCUUAUCUUCAUGAUCAACCACAAGCUUGGAUAUAUAGGGCUAUAGUUUCAGAAUCUAAGUAAGGGAUGGUACUUUGAGUGGCAACAGGAAAGAAAGCUUAUAAGUAAAUGAAGCAAGUAGCAAGCAAGCUAAGUGAGUCAGCCAGUAAACACCCAAAAAUUCAGAAGGUUUGGAGAAAUAGCAAAUAAUAUUAGUUGAUCUUUAAAGCAGCCUAGUAUGCUCAACUUGUUAUCAAGGAAAAUUCAACAGGAAUAGAACAACACUAAGGAUUUCUGAAGAACGUG
rnacentral:lncRNA from 1 species